rnacentral:rRNA from 1 species
GACGAACGCUGGCGGCGUGCUUAACACAUGCAAGUCGAACGAUGAAGCCGGAGCUUGCUCUGGUGAAUUAGUGGCGAACGGGUGAGUAACACGUGAGUAACCUGCCCUUGACUCUGGGAUAACUGCUAGAAAUGGUAGCUAAUACCGGAUACGACCCUCGGAGGCAUCUUCAGGGGGUGGAAAGAAUUUCGGUUCGGGAUGGACUCGCGGCCUAUCAGCUUGUUGGUGAGGUAAUGGCCUACCAAGGCGACGACGGGUAGCCGGCCUGAGAGGGUGACCGGCCACACUGGGACUGAGAUACGGCCCAGACUCCUACGGGAGGCAGCAGUGGGGAAUAUUGCACAAUGGGCGCAAGCCUGAUGCAGCGACGCCGCGUGAGGGAUGACGGCCUUCGGGUUGUAAACCUCUUUCAGCAUCGACGAAGCGAAAGUGACGGUAGGUGCAGAAGAAGGACCGGCCAACUACGUGCCAGCAGCCGCGGUAA